AGAUAGCCGUUAUCGGAUUACUGGGCGUAAGCGCGCGUAGGCGGUUUAUUAAGUCAGAUGUGAAAGCCCCGGGCAAAAACUGGGAAUUGCAUUUGAGACUGGUAGGCUAGAGUGUGUAAGAGGGGAAU
rnacentral:rRNA from 1 species